rnacentral:lncRNA from 1 species
CGCAGGAUCAUUUGCAGAAAUGAAACGCUUAAAUUUACUCCAAAUCAAUGGAGUACAUCUCACCGGAUCCUUCAAACUGCUUUCUAAAGAGUUGAUGUGGAUUUGUUGGCAUAGAUGUCCUUUGAAAGAUUUUCCAUCUGAUUUUACCGCAGACUAUCUAGCUGUUCUUGAUAUGCAGUACAGUAACCUCAAAGAACUAUGGAAGGGAAAAAAGGUGCGAAACAUGCUACAAUCCCCGAAAUUUCUCCUGUAUGUAAUUUAUAUUGACAUCUUAUGACUUUCUAUGAUUAAUUUUCAUUAUUUUACCCUCUAUUAUGACAGAUCCUCAACAGGCUAAAAAUCUUUAAUCUUAGUCAUUCUCGGAACCUUGUUAAAACACCAAACUUGCACAGUUCAAGUCUAGAGAAACUAAUUCUGAAAGGUUGCUCAAGUUUAGUUGAGGUGCAUCAAUCAAUUGGACAUUCGACGAGCCUCGUUUUCUUGAAUCUCAAGGGAUGUUGGAGUCUGAAGACUCUCCCUGAAAGCAUUAGGAAUGUAAAGUCUCUUGAAACUAUGAAAAUUUAUGGGUGUUCACAACUUGAGAAAUUGCCAGAAGGCAUGGGUGAUAUGAAAUUCUUAACUGAGCUAUUAGCUGAUGGGAUUAAAACUGAGCAAUUUCUCUCUUCAAUUGGGCAAUUAAAGUAUGUCAAAAGGUUAUCAUUACGUGGAUGCAGUCCGACUCCACCAAGUUGUUCUUUGAUUUCAGCAGGUGUUUCAAUUUUGAAAUGUUGGCUGCCAACAUCAUUCACUGAAUGGAGAUUAGUGAAACAUCUUAUGCUUUCUAAUUGUGGUUUGUCUGAUCGUGCAACUAACUGUGUUGAUUUUAGUGGUUUGUUCUCUCUAGAAAAAUUGGAUCUAAGUGAAAACAAAUUCUCUAGCCUGCCUUAUGGGAUCGGCUUCCUUCCCAAGCUAUCGCACUUGGUUGUUCAGACAUGUGAAUAUCUUGUAUCAAUCCCAGAUCUUCCCUCAAGUUUAUGCCUUUUGGAUGCAUCUUCUUGCAAAUCAUUGGAAAGAGUAAGAAUACCAAUCGAGUCAAAAAAAGAACUAUGUGUAAAUAUAUUUCAAAGUCUUUCGUUAGAAGAGAUUCAGGGCAUCGAAGGUCUAAAUAAUAGUUUCUGGAAUGUUAGUAUUGAAAGACGCAGUCAUUCACCAAAUAAAUUACAGAAGAGCGUUCUAGAGGUACUAUUUCUUUCAAUCUCUCUUGCAUAAGAAGAAACACACACAAUUGGCACAUAUUGAUUAAUGUCUAAAAUCGCAGCAUUCCUUGAAAUUAAUAUGUAUACAGGCAGUUAUUAUUAUUAUUAUUAUUAUUAUAUUUUAAAAAAUAAAUAUCAUCUUUAAUAAUAUUUUCUUAUUUUUCUUAUUUAAUCUAAAAAAUUAAAUAUUAUCUUUAAUAAUAUUUUUUAUUAAAUAUUUAAGUCUUUGGUUUUCUUUUUUAUUUCUUGAUUUUAUGAUAAUAUAUUUAUACAGGCAAUGUGCAACCGUGGUCACGGGUAUCGUAUUAACUUCAGUCUAGAACAUGAUGAACUACAUGAGAUGCCAGAUUGGAUGAGCUACAGGGGAGAAGGAUGCUCAUUGUCAUUCCAUAUACCUCCAGUCUUCCAUGGCUUAGUUCUUUGGUUAGAGAAGGGUACUCAUAUGUACACAUACACUAACAUUAUUAUUAUUAUAAGAAAUAAAAGCAACGGAAGAAUAUUGUUUAAAGAUAAACGAGCACAGAUAGGAAUACAUAUAUUUAUGCAGGGAUGGUUAAGAUACAUAAGUAGAAGUGAAAUGGCAAUGGAAGAUUACUGUGGAGACGAAUUGGAACUAUACAUUUCUUCAGAGCCAACAGACUAUGCACUGCGCAAGGGUAAAUCAUUGAAACCAAGCGUUAAAGAAUGUGGGGUCCAUGUGAUCGCAGGGAAGUCAGAUUCAUUAAAAAAGUCGGCAGUGGAAAGAGAUACAGUGAUGCUUUCACCACCGCUGUAUCAUCUGCUUCCUCAUCCUCAUCGUGGUUCAAUUACAACGUCUACACCUAAGCAAUGGUGUGACUUUUUACUUGCGGAGCUGCAAAACCAUAGCCUCGGUUUAUUGCUUCUUGGUAAGAACAAAUAUUUCCUUUAGUUAUUUUUAUUCUAUUCUAUUUAAUUUAUGAGAUUAAAUAUUAUCUUUAAUUAUUUCAUUAUUACUAUUUAAUAUAAAAAAUUAAAUAUCAUUUUUAAUAAUAAAAAAUUAAAUAUUUAAGGCUUUUUGGUAAGAAUACAUAUUUCCUUUAGUUAUUUCUAUUUUAUUCUAUUUGAUGGGAAUUUGUUCGUAAUAACAAAAUGCACAUGUUUAACUUUCUUUUCAAACUUGGAAGUUUUAUUGAAUUUGAUGGCUUUUGAAGGUAGAGAAGACUUGGAGUGAAGAGUACAAGAUCAUUUUAUAUAGAGAUGCUUGAAGUUACUUCAAAUUAGUACGGUACUUCUAUCUGAUGUAUUGAUAUGUAUUUGUUUGUUUGAAGAUUAUUUUCCAAGCUUGGAAGUUUUAUUGAAUACUCUUUGAAAUCUUUUCCAUCCGCUUUUAUAUUUUUAUAUUGGACAACCUAGUUGUUAAUUAUUAUCCAUGAUGUAAUUUAUAUUUUCAAGUUAUAAAUUUUGAUGAAUAUUGUUUCAUUUUUUUCCUCAUUUCAAAAGUUGAAAAUCCUUAUUUUAGUUAGAAAUAAAUUGGUUUUCUAGGAAGAGAUUAUUGAUUGGAAACAAGAGCAAAAGAAAAAAGCAAACACCCCAUUCGAUUUUCAUUCAGUAUAAGAGUGAGAAAGAGAGACGCCAAGGUGGUUCUCGAAUAUUUUGUUCUUUUUUGUCUCGCUCACUGGGGUAAAUACUUCAUCAUUUAAUGUUAUAAUUUAAAAUAAUUGAUGAAAAAGAAUUUUAUUCAAUCCCAAUCCCAAUCCCACAUUGUCUGUAGAAGUAUUUACUUUUGACUGUACACUUUGUUAUUUUCCAAUCCCUCCCCAGUUCUGCAACCAUUUCUCUACUUUCUAUGCUCUUGGCUUGCUAAAAACUAAAGAAAACACAUUGCUCUAGUUGCCUGCCUUCACUCUUCAGAUUGCUCAACAAAUCCCUUGAGACCUUCUCCAUAGUUAACACAUCACAUAAUGGCUACUCUAAAAAAUUUAGCCAUAAACAUUGAACACCUUAAGCAAUCAACGUGCCUUCCUUCACAAUAUGCAUCACCCAUAAAUCUUUCUUUUGGGAUGUCGCCGGGAGUUUAAAUUUCCGAGUGUAAAAAUUACUCAAUGAAAAAGCGAGCACUAACGCACCUUCUCCACAAACUACCAUAAAUAUAUAAAUAUAUUAUGAAAACAAGAUAAAAAGAAAUCUUUCGGUACAUCUAUAUAUAUAUAUUAUGGCUAUGAAAAUAGGUUUGUGGAAAUUUACAUCAUUUGAUCUUGACAGUGUCAGAUUAGACAAUUGCAUGGAAAUGGUCUUCUUAGUUUGCCGUGUGGAAAAUCAUGUCAUUUACGGGGCUGCUGGAGAGAGUGUCUAUUGAUAAUUUUAUCUUAUUUGCAUUGACCGGUAAUUUCACUCGAAAAUUUCUAGUAAUUUAAAAGCAAAUUUCUACUGACUAUUAUUGACUGGCUUCUUGCAAAGUAUUUGUAAGAAAGCUAAAGAAUUAAAGUUUUUUAAUUUUUAAAAUUGUAAGAAAAAAAUCAAUUAUUUUUAAAAUUGUUUUCAAAAAUAAAACACCAACUAUUUAUAUAAUAGCUAAAUCUAUUAAGAUAAAUCCAAAAUAACUAGUAAAAUCAGUGACUUGCAUUGACGGUGUAAUGAUCUGGAACCACUCGCAAUAAAUAAAGCCAAAAAAGGCAGACGAGUGUGUCUAUAUAUACAUAUAGGAACCGCUGAUUCGAUUUGAAUAUGUUAUUUGAUUAGUCUAAUUCAUGACUUGCAUUGACUCAAGAUUACCACUCAAGAUUUCGUGGUGCUUUCUCGGCCUGCAAAUGAAUAGAAAGCAUGUCGUUUUAACCUCAUUUCAAUAUCCUUGCUUUACUCUCCAGCUAGCCUGAUACAUAUGAGUCUCAAGACAUACGGCCAUUGAUAGAAAGGAGUGCUGAAGCAAAAUAUUUUUUUAUCUGUAGCGACCUCAAUAAUGUUAAAGCGUGGACCACCAUGAAAUUACCGCUCCAAAUUCCUUGUUCUUUCUAUAUUAUUAGAAAAAUUAUCAUUGACUAAUUUAAUUGGAAAUUAUUUGCGAGAAAGCUAAAAAGAAUUAAAGUUUUUUAAUUUAUAAAAUUAUAAUUUUAAAUUGUAAAAAAAUUCAAUUAUUUUAAAAAAUAAAACAUCAACUAUUUAUAUAAUAGCUAAAUAAAUCUAUUAAAAUAAAUUGAGAAUAACUAGUAAAAUCAAGCAAAUAAUCCAAAAAUAACAAGAAAAUAAAUAUAUUUCCUAGAUCUAAUUUGAUUAUAUUUAUUAUCUUGAUUGACUUACUUGUUAAGUCUUCGCUAAGCAUAAAUGAACUUUAAUCUAAGAAUCUGUUUUAUAUUUCUUCAUUUAUUAAUGAAAUAUUACUUCUACUGUAUAGUUUUUGGUUCCGAGUUGAUCCACCAGAUUAAUAGGUGAACAAUAUAUUUUGUCUCCACAGGUUAUAACAUCAUUUCAAUAUCUUUAAACAAAAUCUUUGUUAAACUGCACCAUUGGUAAUUGAUUAUGCCUUAAUUUCUGCAGCUGCCAGGACAGAGCCAGAGUCUUCUCGAUCUAGACCAGAAGGGGCCUAUGAUGUCUUCUUGAGUUUUAGAGGAGAAGACACUCGCAAGACAUUUACAGAUCAUCUCUACACUGCCUUAGUCCAAGCAGGAAUCCACACUUUUCGAGAUGAUGAUGAACUUCCGAGAGGAGAAGAAAUCUCCGAUCAUCUCCUCAGGGCAAUUCAAGAAUCAAAGAUAUCCAUAGUUGUCUUCUCAAAGGAUAUGCUUCUUCUAGAUGGUGUCUCAAUGAACUUGUAGAGAUUCUUAAGUGCGAAAAUAGGAAAACCGGUCAGAUUGUUCUUCCUAUAUUCUAUGACAUUGAUCCUUCAUAUGUCAGAAAACAGAAUGGCAGUUUUGCAGAAGCAUUUGUUAACCAUGAAGAGCGUUUUGAAGAGAAGUUGGUGAAGGAGUGGAGAAAAGCUCUUGAGGAGGCUGGAAAUCUAUCUGGAUGGAAUCUCAAUGAUAUGGCAAAUGGGUAUGCCUUUUCUCUCUAAAAUUCACUUGCAGACGUUUAUGGAGUAAUUCUACAUUACAUUUUUCAAUGUGAAGUAAUAAAAUAUUUCUUUUUAGCAUACUUAAUUGACUUGCUAUCGAUGACUUGCUUUUUUUCUGUGAGCAGGCAUGAAGCAAAAUUUAUCAAAGGGAUUAUCAAUGAUGUGUUGAAUAAAUUACGUCGCGAGUGCUUAUAUGUUCCUGAGCAUCUGGUAGGUAUGGAUCUUGCUCACGAUAUUUAUGACUUUCUAAGUACUGCAACAGAUGAUGUACGCAUUGUGGGCAUACAUGGGAUGCCAGGAAUAGGAAAGACGACUCUAGCAAAAGUUGUAUUUAAUCAACUCUGCUAUAGAUUCGAGGGAAGCUGCUUUCUUUCGAAUAUCAAUGAAAGUUCAAAACAAGUUAAUGGUCUUGUUCCUUUACAAAAGCAACUUCUUCAUGAUAUUUCAAAACAAGAUGUUGCUAACAUCAAUUGUGUCGAUAGAGGAAAGGUUAUGAUCAAAGAUCGACUUUGUCGCAAAAGAGUUCUUGUUGUUGCUGAUGAUGUGGCUCAUCUGGAACAGCAGAAUGCAUUGAUGGGAGAGCGAAGUUGGUUUGGUCCCGGAAGUAGAGUAAUCAUUACAACAAGAGAUUCAAAUCUUCUUCGUGAAGCAGAUCGAACAUAUCAGAUCGAAGAAUUGAAACCACAUGAGUCCCUUCAGCUUUUCAGCAGGCAUGCCUUUAAGGACUCCAAGCCAGCACAAGAUUAUAUUGAGCUUUCGAAGAAAGCCGCUGGUUACUGUGGAGGACUUCCUUCAGCUCUUGAGGUUACAGGAGCUCUUCUGUACAGGAAAAACAGAGGUAGAUGGGAAAGUGAAAUGGACAACUUGAGCAGAAUUCCAAACCAAGAUAUUCAAGGAAAGCUUCUAAUAAGUUAUCACGCACUUGAUGGUGAACUACAAAGGGCAUUCCUUGAUAUUGCAUGCUUCUUUAUUGGUAUAGAGAAAGAAUACGUCGCAAAAGUGCUAGGAGCCCGUUGCCGUCCCAAUCCAGAAGUUGUUUUGGAAACUCUCAGUGAAAGGUCUCUGAUUAAAAUAUUGGGAGAGACGGUAACCAUGCAUGAUCUAUUACGAGAGAUGGGAAGGGAGGUCGUUUGUAAAGCGUCCCCAAAAGAACCUGGAAAGAGGACCAGAAUUUGGAAUCAAAAGGAUGCAUGGAAUGUACUUCAACAGCAGAAGGUACGAGCUCAAUGCAUACAUGAAAGCGUAGUCAUGUGUAUUUUCUCAAUGCAAACAUGAAAGCAUAGUCAUGCGUAUUUUCUUGUCAAACUUAUUACAAAUAAUUGAAUGAAAGUUGUAUUGAUUUUUUUUUUAGGGUACGGAUGUUGUAGAGGGUCUUGCACUGGAUGUCAGAGCAUCAGAAGCUAAAUCACUUAGCGCAGGAUCAUUAGAAAAAAUGAAAUGCUUAAAUUUACUCCAAAUCAACGGAGCACAUCUCACCGGAUCCUUCAAACUGCUUUCUAAAGAGUUGAUGUGGAUUUGUUGGCAUGAAUGUCCUUUGAAAUAUUUUCCAUCUGAUUUUACCUUGGACAAUCUAGCUGUUCUUGAUAUGCAGUACAGUAACCUCAAAGAACUAUGGAAGGGAAAAAAGGUGCGAAACAUGCUGGAAUCCCCAAAAUUUCUCCAGCAUGUAAUUUAUAUUUACAUGUUAUGACUUUCUAUGAUUAAUUGUCAUUAUUUUACUCUCUCUUAUGACAGAUUCUCGACAAGCUAAAAAUCCUUAAUCUCAGUUAUUCUCAUCACCUUAUUAAAUCACCAAAGUUGCACAGUUCAAUUCUAGAGAAACUAAUUCUGAAAGGUUGCUCAAGUUUAGUUGAGGUGCAUCAAUCAAUUGGACAUUCGACGAGCCUCGUUUUCUUGAAUCUCGAGGGAUGUUGGAGUCUGAAGACUCUCCCUGAAAGCAUUGGUAAUGUAAAGUCUCUUGAAACUAUGAAUAUUUGUGGGUGUUCACAACUUGAGAAAUUGCCAGAAGGCAUGGGUGAUAUGAAAUUCUUAACUGAGCUGCUAGCCGAUGAGAUUAAAACUGAGCAAUUUCUCUCUUCAAUUGGGCAAUUAAAGUAUAUCAAAAGGUUAUCAUUGCGUGUUUCAAAUUUGAAAUGUUGGCUGCCAACAUCUUUCACUGAAUGGAGAUUAGUGAAAUAUCUUAAGCUUUACUGUGUUGAUUUUAGAGGUAUGUUCUCUCUAAAAGUAUUGGAUCUAAGAGGAAACAAAUUCUCUAGCCUGCCUUCUGGGAUCGGCUUCCUUCCCAAGCUAUCGUACUUGGUUGUUAAGACAUGUGAAUAUCUUGUAUCAAUCCUAGAUCUUCCCUCAAGUUUAUGCCUUUUGGAUGCAUCUUAUUGCAAAUCAUUGGAAAGAGUAAGAAUACCAAUCGAGGCAAAAAAAGAACUAUGUGUAAAUAUAUAUAUGAAAGUCUUUCGGUAGAAGAGAUUCAGGGCAUCGAAGGUUUAAAUAAUAGUUUCUGGUAUGUUAGUGUUACAUCACCAAAUAAAUUACAGAAGAGCAGUCAUUCACCAAAUAAAUCACAGAAGAGCGUUGUUGAGGUACUAUUUCUUUUAGUCUCUCUUGCACAAGAAGAAACACACACAAUUGGCACAUACAUUGAUUAAUGUCUAAAAUCGCAGCAUUCCUUGAAAUUAAUAUGUAUACAUACAAUUAUUAUUUUAAUUUAAAAAAUAAAUAUCAUCUUUAAUAAUAUUUUCUUAUUUUUCUUAUUUAAUCUAAAAAAUUAAAUAUUAUCUUUAAUAAUAUUUUUUAUAAAAUAUUUAAAGUCUUUGGUUUUCUUUUUUAUUUCUUGAUUUUAUGAUAAUAUAUUUAUACAGGCAAUGUGCAACCGUGGUCACGGGUAUCGUAUUAGCUUCAUUGUUGAUGAUCUACUUGAGAUGCCAGAUUGGAUGAGCUACAGGGCAGAAGGAUGCGCAUUGUCAUUCCAUAUACCUCCAGUCUUCCAUGGCUUAGUUCUUUUGUUUGAGAAGAGUACUCAUCUUUACACAGUCACUAACAUUAUUAUUAUUAUAAGAAAUAAAAGCAACGGAAGAAUAUUGUUUAAAGAUAAACGAGCACAGAUAGGAAUACAUAUAUUUAUGCAGGGAUGGUUAAGAUACAUAAGUAGAAGUGAAAUGGCAAUGGAAGAUUACUGUGGAGAUGACGAAUUGGAACUAUACAUAUAUUCACAGCAAUCAGAGUAUGCAACGGUCAUUCAUUCGAACCCGUACACGUUAAAGAAUGUGGGGUCCAUGUGAUCGCAGAGAAGUUAGAUUCAUUUGAAGAGUCGGCAGUGGGAAGAGAUACAGUGAUGCCUUCACCACCGCUGUAUCAUCUGCUUCCUCAUCCUCAUCGUGGUUCAAUUACAACGUCUACACCUAAGCAAUGGUGUGACUUUUUACUUGCGGAGCUGCAAAACCAUAACCUCAGUUUAUUGCUUCUUGGUAAGAACAAAUAUUUCCUUUAGUUAUUUUUAUUCUAUUCUAUUUAAUUUAUGAGAUUAAAUAUUAUCUUUAAUUAUUUCAUUAUUACUAUUUAAUAUAAAAAAUUAAAUAUCAUUUUUAAUAAUAAAAAAUUAAAUAUUUAAGGCUUUUUGGUAAGAAUACAUAUUUCCUUUAGUUAUUUCUAUUUUAUUCUAUUUAAUUUAAGAGAUUAAAUAUCAUCUUUAAUUAUUACAUUUUUCUUAUUUUUUAUUUUUUGAUUUUAUGAUAAUAUUUUUCUUGAUUAAUAUAAAAAAUAAAUAUUAUCUUUAAUAAUUAGAUCUAUCGAAUAUCACUCAAAAAAAUAAAUUAUAUCUUUAAUAAUUAUUUUUUGAAAAACAAAAAGCCAACAAUCACUAACAUAUUUUAUUAAAAUCACUUUAGUUUAUUUAGGAAAUAUUGAAAACUGAUUUUUGUUUUUUUACAUUUAAAUAAAAAAUUGAAUAAUGUUUUUAUAUUUUAUUUCAAAUUAAAUAUUUUAAAACAAAAAUAAAAACAAAAUGAUAUUAACCUUUUUUAUUAUAAAGUAAGUUUCUUAAUUAAAAGUGAAGGGGAUUUGUUUGUAAUAACAAAAUGCAUAUAUAAUCAUGCACGGUUAACUUUAUUUCCAAACUUGAAAGUUCUACUGAAUUUGAUGGUUUUAUAGGUAAGAAGGAGCUGGAUGGAUGAGUUAUUUUACAUAGAGAUGCUUGAAGUUACUUCAAAUUAGUACGGUAUUUCUAUCUGAUGUAUUGAUAUGUAUUUGUUGGCUUGAAGAUCAUUUUCCAAGUUUGGAAGUUUUAUUGAAUGCUCUUUGAAAUCUUUUCCAUUCGCUUUUAUAAUUGUGUAGGUUUCAAUUAAAAGGGAUUGAAUUAAGGAAGUAUGUUAAAAAAUAAUAUAAAUUAUAUUUUAAAAUUUAUUUUAAUAGUUUAAAUUUUUAGAUGGAUAGUUUUUUUGACAGGUAAAAGAUAUAGUUUUACAAUAAAAUAUAUUUUUUGAAAUGAAAUUAUAUUAAAUUAAGCAUGCUCGAGAUUGUUCAAAUUAUUAAUUAAUUAUAAUUAACUUUAUGUCUUUAGAGGAAACAGAAGGGAAGGACAAGAUUAUCUUCCCCACACCAAUAGACCUAGCCCACUUUCCAAACCAGUCCCCUGGUAAAUAGAAUGAUGGUCCCAUAUUUUUCUUUCCAGCCCGUCAAGCAGUUUUAUCUCCCUCACUGGACCACUUUAGAAUGGGAAUCACACUAGGAAAUUUAAAAGUAGUUUGAAGUAUCAUUAAACCUGAUAAAAAUAAACAACCAAUAAUAAUAUGGUUGGGAUUUAAAAAAAAAUUGAUAAAAAAACUAAAAUAAAACAAAUUAAAAUAAACAAAAAACUUGAAAAAAAUUAAUUCAACCCUUUCUUCGUAAAAAAGAGAAGUAAUUGGGUAUUAAUUUACGGUCAAAAGAGUACAAUAAUGCAAAGAAAAAAAAGAGUAUGAGGGUAUUGAUUUUAUUAUUUGUUAGGUAACUAUGGAAUCUAAUCUGUUGAUGUGGAAAAUAGCACAAAUUAAGUUUUUGGCAUGGCCAUUGGUGAGAAGCAAAAGCAGUAGCAGUCCAUCAGGACCAUCACCAUCCUAUCGCCGACAUUCCAAGUGUGAAAGUGUAUUAUUGUCAUAAAGUUUUUCAAACGAAACAAUACGAUAAAUUUAAACUAUAGAGAGAUAAUUAAAUAAAUAAGUAGAAAGCGCAAAAGAAACAAUACGAUAAAUUUAAACUAUACUAAAGGUCAGUUUUUCACUCUGUGUGAAUCUACCGUGAAAGCUUGAUUUUGCACAUGGUAGAUAAAUUUAGGUUUAGGAGUAUAAUUUUUUAUAUAUAAUUACACUAAAGAAGAAUAUUAAUCAAAUAACCCUUAAAAAAAUUCCUUUUAGUUUAGGGUUUAUUUUUUUUCAUCUCAAUUACUUAAAUAUCCCUAAAAAAUAAACUCUCUUUACUAUGGAUGCAAGGUUAUUUUAGAUUUUCUGCUAUUUUUUUUUUAAAAAAUUCUCAUGUAAGAUUAGAGGUGAUUUGGUAUUUUAAUAUAUAAAUUAAUAUUAAAAUUCAAAAGCAGUUGGUGUCUCCCACACCUUUUGGAUGGCGCCUACGACUUCCACACAAAACCGAAUGUUACCGUCUAAGGCAGCGUUUGAUGCGUUUCACCACCGUUGUCACGGUGGUGGCACACGUGUUCUCUGAUGGCAUGUAGAGGAGCACGCGGAGGAGCUCCUUUCUCUUUUUCCUCUCUCGACCUAGAAAAUCAUGUUGACCAUUGAAAAAAAAAAAAACAAAGAAAGUCUAACUAUUUAUUUGUUAAGUUAAAUUAGGUCCUUAUUCUUUUGAUAACAAUGCAUUUGGUCUUGAGCUAUUUAUUAAGUUAGUUGUUUUUUCAUUUUCAUUAAUUUACACUUUGUUUUUAUAUUAGAUUUAAUCCUUAUUCUUUUAACUGUGAUGUUUUUUGUUGUCUUAAUUCCUUUAUUGAAUUAAAUUGUCUUUGAAUUUUAUCUCUUGAUAUUUUAUUUUUAUAUCAAAUAUGAUCCUUAUUUUUUUAUUGUUAUUUUUAGUUAUUUUUAUUAUUUUCUUAAUUGAAAUUGUUUUUUAAUUUCAUCCCUUAUGAUUUGGUUUUAUUUACUUUAUGUAUCAAAUUUGGUUCUCUUUCUUUUCAAAUCUACAUCUUUAAAAAUAAAAUUUAAUUUUUUUCAAGUUUAUCCCUAAUUAUUUUGGUUGGUUUAGAUUUUAUAUUGUUAUUUUUUAUUUUUCUUUUACAUUGUGAUAUAGCCUUAUGAUUGUGUCACAAAUUCUAAAAGUUGGACAGGGAUGACUUCAAUUAUUUUUAGAAAUUUUCAUUCUUCAAUUCAAUUAUAUAUAUAUAUAAAAGGUUUGACGCUUAAUAUAUUUUUGUAUUGAUUUUAUCAUUUUAUAAUUUGAUUUAUAAUGCAGUCCUAUUAUAUAUGGACCAGGACAACAAUAUCAUUCAAAUGUUAGUAAUAGAAUAACUUUUACAUAUUUUAAUAUUUAAAAAUUAAAAAAAUACAGUGUAACUGUUUUGUAUAAAUUCUAAAAGUAAGGACUCAUUUGUGCUUGGUAAAAUACCUCACAAUAAAGUUAAUAAAUAAUAACACAAGAAAAGAACAAAAGUUAAUAAAUAAUAUAUAGCAUGUCUUACACUGCUUUAAUAGAUUAUUCCAGUAAGAGCACAGAGAGAAGAGCGGUUCAAGACAGAACAAUGAUGUAUAAAUUAAAAAAAUAUAAUCUCUUAUAGGAAUCUCUUUAUUAAAUAAUCAAAAUAUUAAAGUCUAUUUCCAAAGACUAUUACUACAGUUUUUAUAUAUAUAAAAAUAGAAACAACUAAAUAGAGAAAUUAUUAUUUUUUAAAUUGAAAAAGUUGAAAAGCUUGAUAAUAUUGAGUAAGAAAUAAAAUAUAAAAAUAAUUCCUUUUAAAUAAACAAAUAUAAAAGUUUAAUAGUACUGAAUAGAAAAAAAAAUAGAAUUUCUAAACUAAAUAAAAGUAACUGAAAAAAGUAUUUAUUAUUCCAAAAAAAUUGAUGUUAAAAUCUCAUUUAUCAUAUUUUAUAUCUAUAAAAAGCUAAUUUGUCAUAUGGAAUAAGUCUAUAUGCUAAAAUCAGAAAAAACAAAUGUAACAAAAAAAAAUUCCACCAAAGGCUGUGAUUAGCAGAUUAUCUGAUGGAAAGAUGAUGAACAUUUUUUAGUCAAUUAAGUUCAUUUCACAUGAUUUUUUUAUUCUUGUCAAUUAAUCUUAAAGCAAGAUUCCAAGAUAAGCCUAAAAAAUAUUUAUUAUUAAUCAACAAUAUGGAAUAAUAACUUGUUUUCUAAUAUAAAUUAUAAUUUGAAAUAAAAUUGAUAAAAGAGUAAGGCGCAUUUUGUAUACAAAAUUAAUGACGGAAUCGUAUAUUUUAAGACUAAAUUAAAGUUUUUCAAUUACAUUUAAACAUAUUAUGGUUUUAAUAAACGUACGAUGCAUCCUUUGAUUUUAUUACAGGGAACGUGAAAUAUUGUAAAUUAUGGAGGGGAAUCAAAAUAUUUGUUAGCAGUAACCUCAGUAAUGUUUAAAAAAAAUUGUUGUGGAAACUUUGCAAAGGAUCUGAAGGAAGAAAAAUGAUUGAAUUGAUAAUAAUUUGCAAGAGAGAAUUCUUUCACUGAAUAGAAAAAAAAAUAUUAUUUUUAAAAUAAAAACAAUAAAUAUAAAAAUUAUUAUUUUUUAAAUAGAGAAACUAGAAAGUCCUGAUAAUAUUAAAUAAAAAAUAAAUACAAAAAUUAUUCUUUUCAAGUAGAAAAAAUUAUAAAAGUUUAAUAAUACUGAAUAGAAAUAAAUAAAAUUUCUAAACUAAAUAAAAAUAUUUAUUAUCCCAAAAAUUCUUAUAUCAAAAUCUCAUUUAUCAUAUUUUGUAUCUAUAAAAAACUAAUUUGUCAUAUGUACUGGGUCCAUAUGCUAAAACCAGAAAAAAAAAUGUAACAAAAAAAAAAUUCCACACAAGGCUGUGAUUAAGAGAUUAACAAGAUGAUAGAUAUUUUUUAGUAAAAUGAAUUCCAAUUCAAAAUAGCAAAAUAAGGUUUUUUGAGGCUUUUCUAGUAUAUAAAAAAAUCAAAUUAUACAAGAUUUAUUAUUAAUCUUUGAUAUUUAUUAUUGAUCAUCAAUAAUCAAUAUUAAAUGAUGACUUAUUUUCUAGUAUAAACUAUGUUUGAAAUAAAAUUGAUAAAACACAUUAUAUAUAAUUAAUGAUGGGAUCGUAUAUAAAAAUAAUUAAAUUGAGAUUUUUCAAUUACCUUUAAAUAUAUCAUAGUUUUAAUCGGUGGUGGACGAUAUAACAUAUGUAAAUUAUAAAACAAGCAUUUAUUUUUCUGAUAUAUACAUAAUUGUCGCACCCGGACAUCGCGGCGACCUUAAAAAUAAUAUUUCAUGGAAAAGAACAGAUUUCUGGCAUCCUGUUCUUUAAUGGAGAAUGGUCUCGUUUAAGGAGUCGCCACCUAGUAUUAUGGUCACUAGGAACCCUAACUGGUCAACAGAGAUUCUAUGGUACGGGACUGGUUACGUAAAAGAGAAGAUAUUAUCACCCCUUAAACGUUCUGCCUGAGGCAGACUGCAUUGCUGGUUUUGUCUUAAAUUGCUAAAUGUUUAUUAGUUUACGCUAUGAUAAUUUGCUUAUAAUAUUCCUGACUCUGGCGUCAGUGAAUAUUCAACUACGAAUAUCUCCAACUCUGGCGUUGGUAAAUAUUACGUAGUUAUAAAAUAAAUUAGAUCAAUAUUUUUUUAUUACCUACUCUAGCAGUGAAUAAAUAAAUAAAAAUAAAUUUAUUUUUAAACAUGCACAUAUUUUUUUAUUUUUCUAGCUAAAUAAAAUAAAUAUAACGAAUAAAAAUAAUAUAAAUUUAAACCGGUAUUUUUAUUCCUGACUCUGGCAUCAGUGAAUAAACCAAUAAAUUUACAUUAUUUUUAUUUAUGCAUACACAUUUUUAUUUUUAUUUUUUUCUAAUAAUGAAUAAAAAUAAUAUAAAUUUAAACCGAUAUUUUUAUUCCUGACUCUGGAGUCAGUGAAUAAACCAAUAAAUUACAUUUUUUUUAUUUUUUUCCUAGGACUAUUUUUCCUACAUUUUUUUAUAUUUUUUUAUUUUUUUCCUAGGACUAAGCUUCACACGUGUAUGCAAAAGUAGUGAAUUAAAUUGGCCUAUGUACAGUACCCAUGCAAUUAGAAUUGCAAAGCAAAGGGAAAUGAAGAACUUACCUGUGCAGGAGGCGAAGUCGAAGACGGUGGCGAAGGUGUGCUGAAUUGCCAAAGCUACCUUCUCUCCUUCUCUGUUUUUAUUCUUCGUGCGCUUCUCCUCUGGUUUUGCUUUUCUUUACUUUGAUUGCUUCUCUUAUUCUUCCUGUCUCCCCCCCUGUGUUUGCUUGUUCUCAGUUCGCUUGUGUUUUCUUUUUUUAUCUGUUGUUCAGGGAAUGGAGGAGCUGGUGUAAGUGGAGACAAAGCAGCUGAUGCCUGAGAGGGCGUUGUACUGCUGCUGGAGCUGGAAGAGGCGCGCGUUGCUGGUUGCUGAUGCAUGCUCACGGUGCAUGGAAGUGGCUGAGUUGCUACUAAUCUUGACGAUACUGGUUUCGUCCGCUGUAAAAGUUUUCGUGCCCCUGCAUCCGAUCAAAGCUUGUGCUUUUCCAAGCAAAAGCCAUGGUCCCUUGAAACUCAGCAGAUUUUCGGAGCAAGGAGGAUCGCAUGCCAAUGUAGUUCAUGGUUCUGGUUUAGAGGCAGACGUGGCGGAGAUUAAUGGUGAUUGGGACCACAGCCUAGAAGGUGACCGGGAGGAAGAUGAUCUCGAGCCUUUAUUUGCUUCUUCUUUUUUUGUGAGGAGUUUGCAGAUCCCGGGGGUUGAGAAUGAAGAAUGAAAAAUCAGUUUGAUGGGGAAGAGAUUGAGGCCAGGCAAGAAGGGAGGAAAAGUCUGGGGGGAGGGGGCAGCGGCGGCUAGUCUAGGACUCGGCCGCGCCCCUUUUUUUUUUUGUAAAUGUCUUUUGUUUCUUUUUUUUUAUAUAGGUUUCUGGUAAUGAUCUUCUCCUGGGUUUUUUUUUUGUGUCGUUUAAGGUUCCUCUCUAAUCGUCUUCCUCUCCCCUCCGUUUUUCAUACCCUGAGAUCUGUAUUUAUAGUGCCAGAGUCCCUUCGCUUGUGAGAAACCAAGUUUCAAUCAAACUCAUUCUAUUUUUUGAAGUUUGAAUUUGAUUAAGAAUCAAAUUUGAAAGCGGAUAACUAUCAUUAUCUUAAAGACAAGGAUUAUCUCGAAGAUAAAGAUUAUCUUGAAGAUAGGGAUUAUCUUGAAGAUAAAGAUAGAAUGAUAAAAGCACAUUGUAGUCCUUAAUUUUCACGGAAGUUGACAAAUCACACUUUUCAUCGAAAUAAAUCUCUGAUCUUUUAAUUUUUCAUUUUAAACCCUGUAAAAAUUAAAUUAAAAGUCAAAGGGCCAAAAUUGGGUCAUGACAGUUGCCCCCUCUUUACAAUGCUUACGGUGCAAAUGCAUUAGAAAAUUUAUUUUCUUUUGACUUUGUAUAGUAAGUUUUGUAAAGAAAAAUAAUUGUGAAAGCCCUUCCUCUUUUCCUCCUUUUUUUUUUCUUCUCUUUUUUUUGAUUGAUUUUUUUGCUUUUUUUUUUUAAAUGGUCUAAUUGUUCCAGGCGACCUGCCUGAUAAAGAAUAAAAUGCGAAAAGGGUUUCGCGAGUGGUCUAAUUGUUCCAGGCGACCUGCCCGAUGAUUGAAAAAUACGAGGAUUUUUUUUUGUGAUGGUAUAUUGUAAUGGGUUACCGGCCCAGAUGGUCACAUUGUAAUGGGUUACCUGCCCAGUAUAGGAUGGUAUAUUGUAAUGGGUUACCGGCCCAAAUGGUCACAUUGUAAUUGGUUACCUGCCUAGUAUAGGAUGGUAUAUUGUAAUGGGUUACCAACUCAGAUGGUCACAUUGUAAUGGGUUACCUGCCCAGUAUAGGAUGGUAUAUUGUAAUGGGUUACCGACCCAAGUGGUCACAUUGUAAUGGGUUACCUGCCUAGUAUAGGAUGGUAUAUUGUAAUGGGUUACCGACCCAGAUGGUCACAUUGUAAUGGGUUACCUGCCCAGUUGGUCACAUUGUAAUGGGUUACCUGCCCAGUGGAUGGUAUAUUGUAAUGGGUUACCGACCCAGAUGGUCACAUUGUAAUGGGUUACCUGCCCAGUGGAUGGUAUAUUGUAAUGGGUUACCGACCCAGAUGGUCACAUUGUAAUGGGUUACCGGCCUAGUUGGUCACAUUGUAAUGGGUUACCUGCCCAGUGGAAAAAUACGAGGAUUUUUCAGAUGGUCACAUUGUAAUGGGUUACCUGCCCAGAUGGUCACAUUGUAAUGGGUUACCGGCCCAGUUGGUCACAUUGUAAUGGGUUACCUGCUUAGUGGAAAAAUACGAGGAUUUUUUUUUAAGACAUGAUAGGGCUCGAAGGCGCAUUAUUCAAUAGAUGGAAGCUCGAGGGAAAUGAGGGCUUGAAGGCGCCCUCAAAAGAAGGUAGGAUAGGAAAUGCACUACCUUUGAUGGUCGAGGGCUCGAAGGAGCGCUCGAAUGGAGGUAGGAUAGGAAAUGCACUACCUUUGAUGGUCGAGGGCUCGAAGGCGUGCUCGAAAAGAAAUAAGAUGAGGGCUCGAAGACGCGCUCGAAAGGAGGUAGGAUAGGAAAUGCACUACCUCAGGAGUGGAAACUGAAAGGUGGUGGGAAAAUAGAGAGAUUUUUUCAGGUGGCCUAAUUCUCAUGGGCGGCUUGCCCAGGUUGAAAAAUUCUCAAAAGUGAAAAUUUUUUCAAAAGCAAUUUCAAUGUUCGCCAUUUCAAGUUGGCCUUCCGCUUGAUGGAUUCCGUCAGAAUUUUUUUCUAAUAAAAUUUGCAAAACUCAUUGUCCAAUGUCUCAAAGUUUAAAUGAUAUGCAUGCAUCUUUACCUGAUUUGAAAUAUAGGCCCCCCAUUUCUUCUUAGUCUUCUCGUGGCUUGGUUGGUGAGAUCUUGCUAUCUGAUUUGAGUCAUCUUUGUCGUUUGGCUUUCUAGCCCACUCGAGUUAGCCCAUAUAAGACUUUUUCCAGAUUUGUUUGCACAACUCAGCCUUUGUGGUGCCCAUCGUGACCCACUUGCUUGCUAGAGAUUUUCUGUCUCGUCAAAUAGUUUGAGGGGAUCAUUCAUUACUCCUCGUCUCACUGAUAAAAAUAUUUGGUGUCACUUGCUGAAAGGAUCAAACUGUCUUUCGUAAACCAAAAUGCCCCCUUGUCUUGUUGUAGGAAAUGUUCCUUCUUUUUUUUUAGAACAGAUAGAUUUUUCUUAAGCACAAUAUUGCCCCCUUGUACUAGUCAUUGCCCCCAAGUGUGCCCUGUCAGCGACUUAGACAAAUAAUGGUUUUAAGAGACCAUUCUCUCAUUUCUCUCCUUUUCAGUUUGGUGAAGGAAUAUGGGUUUAGAAUGAAUCUUGAAAUCUUGAUCUUGCAUUUUGAAAACAAAAAAUUAUUUCGAUGUGAGUCUAAAACAAUUUGCUUUUGAAAUCUUGCAACUCCUUGGUUAUUUUCUUUCUUGGAAAAGAGAUUAUUUGCUCUUGUGUUUGGCAAUGAGAUCUUUGAUGAAAAUACGUCAUGAGAUGACCUUUUGUUUUUAUAGGUUUUUAAAGUGGAGGGCUCGAGAAAGAGCUCGAGGUUUUGUAUGAGAAAAACUUGUCUCUUUUUUUAACAUUUAUUUUUAUCAGCAUCAAUAAUAAUGAGUAGCUUAUUCUUGAUGUCAUGAAUCUUAUGAAAAAGUAUUCUUUGCAUUUUGAGAGCAUUGUUUAUUGUUCUAGGUUGCUUGCUUGCUUGAUUAGAAAGGACUUCUACAGGCACAUAACGUAGGCUGUGGUUUUUGGCUAUGAAAGAAAAGGAUUCAUAAGGCUCAAAGAGUGUUUCAGGGUUUCAAAGAAUGAAGAUCACAAUCAACAGUUUGACUCUUGACGUCAUUCAUAUUUUCUUUUGCCGCUCUUCUUUGAUUUGCCUUUUUUUCUUUUUUCUUUUUCAUUGCUUUGCUAGAGCAUACUCACUUUAUCUUGGUUAUCACUUUUUCUUGUGAUUUGGGCAUGCCCCCUAGCAUUUGAGUUUCUUGGGCUCUUUUGCCUUUUGACUUUCUCACGGCUUUAUUAUCUUUCUUGAUCAUUGAAAUUUCACUUGCCCCCAGUGUGGGGUGUGAUCCUAGUCGGGAUUUUUUCAUGAAAGAAAAAUUAUUCAGGCUCAAAAAGGGAUCGCAAGGGAUGUACUUAUUUCAGAAUAUGAAAGGAAUAACAAAGAUGGCAUUUCCUCAUUUCAAGCGCAAGCAGUUAAGAUCAAUAAACUUUGACCUCAUCUAGUGUGAUAGUUUGGUCUUUGCAAAGAUGCAUUUCAAGGGUCAUGAGCAACAAGUUCACUACAUACCAUUAUUCAUACAUUUAAAAACACAUGAUUCAAGAGUCGUGGGGUAAGGGUGUUUAUUUAUUUCUUUUCUCUUUUUUCUUUUUUUCUUUUUGGUUUAUAAUUUAGUCACCUCAUUGAUGGAGUUACUUGAUUAACACGUAGAAUGUUAAAAAUAUGGUUUUUGAAUAAACAUCAAGUUAUUUUCGGAAUCAAAAUGCAAGAUCAAUUUUUUCAAAACUCUAAUAGGGAAACUGAUUUUUGGUAACAGAGACAAAUUGCGUCUAUGAGAUCGCACAAGGCUUCAAAGAUGUGUUUGUGAGUCUUUAUAAGAAAACUCUCUCAGAAAAAUGAAUAAUGCUAAUCGUACACACGAUUGAAUGACAAACUCAUUAUUUUCAUUGAAACUUUGGAAAAUAAGUUCAACAAGAAAGAACUCAUGACAACAUCUUGGGCUAUGAAUACUGGCAUGAUAGCAUAUAAAGGGGCUAAACAUUUAACAAUCAUUGAUUGGAAUUUCUGGAAUCAUUCAUUCUCCUUGACAAGGGCAUCUCUUCAAUAGUCAAUAAUAUCACCAUAGCUUUAUCUUCAAGAUAGUUGAUUUCUAAAAAUUGGUGUGAAGCAAUUAGCUAUAGGAACGAUAACUGUCUUGGCAGCCACCUUCAGUGAAACCGUUCUUCUUAGUUAGGUUAGCAAUCUUACAUAACCCAAUGGCUUGUUCAAUCCUCUCAGCUAUAACAACCAGGUCAGUGAAAUGUUGCGCAGAGCUUCUAACCAAGUAUUCAAAGUAUGAAGCUUUAAAGUUGUUGGAAAAUAAACUGAUCAUCUCUUUUUCCAACAUAGAAGGGUUAACCUGUGCAGCUACCUCCCUCCAUCUUCGAGCGUAUUUCCUUAUGGACUCCUUAUUGUCCUUCUCCAUAGCUUGCAAGUUUAAACGAUCAGAGUCCACGUCUAUAUUGAACUUAUAUUGUCUCAUGAAGGCAUCAACUAAAUCCUUCCAUUUUUUAACCUUGGUAUUUUCCAACCGCAUAUACCAAGUGAGGGCAACGUCACUCAAAUUGUCUUGAAAGAAGUGAAUUAACAGUUUCUCGUCAUAGACUACCUCAACCAUUUUGUUGCAGUAUGUCUUGAGAUGAGUUACAGGGCAUUGAGUUCCUGUAUAUUUGAUGAAUUCUGGCACUCUAAACUUCUUAGGAAUGACUACGUUAGGUACCAAACACAUCUCAACAGCUUUUAUAUGGUCAUGUAGGCUAGUUCCCUCGAAUGCCCUCAGUCUUUGUUCCAAGGCAGCCCUUUUAUCCAGGCCAUCUUCUUUUACCACCUUGUUCUUUUGAGAUUCCUUUAUUGUAAGGUCAAUGGUAGAUGACAUUCCUAUGGGAUAUGCUGGUUGAGCAAAUUGGGAAUACAUAGACUGUUGAGACACCUCAUUUGCCCCCAGAUUCUGUGGAUUUACGAGCAUAGGUUCAGGCUGAGCUGUAGAUUUUGCUUCUUCAUGUUUAGAUCUCAAGGCUUGUUCGAGUAAGCUAGUAAGCCUGGCAACUUUCCAUCUCUUUUCGGUGUGGGGCUUCCAACUGGGCUCUUUCUUGUAAAAAAUUCCACACAAGGCUGUGAUUAAGAGAUUAACAAGAUGAUAGAUAUUUUUUUAGUAAAAUGAAUUCCAAUUCAAAAUAGCAAAAUAAGGUUUGUUGAGGCUUUUCUAGUAUAUAAAAAAAUCAAAUUAUACAAGAUUUAUUAUUAAUCUUCGAUAUUUAUUAUUGAUCAUCAAUAAUCAAUAUUAAAUGAUGACUUAUUUUCUAGUAUAAACUAUGUUUGAAAUAAAAUUGAUAAAACACAUUAUAUAUAAUUAAUGAUGGGAUCGUAUAUAAAAAUAAUUAAAUUGAGAUUUUUCAAUUACCUUUAAAUAUAUCAUAGUUUUAAUCGGUGGUGGACGAUAUAACAUAUGUAAAUUAUAAAACAAGCAUUUAUUUUUCUGAUAUAUACAUAAUAAUAACAAAUUAAAUGAUAGUAACAAGAAAAUAGCAAUUAGUUUGAAUAAAUGGUACCAGUUCCUAUCAUUAUAUAUUUAGGAAAAGGUUCAAAGAAUAGAAUAAAGUCAAAUAUAUAUUUUUAAUAAAAAAGAAAAAAAAACACAGAAAGAAAUAAAAAUAUGUUUGUAAUAAAUAUAAAAGAUGGAUAAAAAUAUUAGAGAAUAAGAAAGAGAUAUAGAAUCUCUUUGUGAAAUUUCUAAAAACUUAAUUACAAUUAUAUUAUAAUUUCUUCCCUAAAAUUAUUCAAAAUAUAGUAUUAGAAUUAUAUAAUGCUAGGUUUUAAUAGUUAAUUAAAGAAUCUUUCCUGAAUCAAAUAAUAAAAAUAUUGUAUAACGAUCUUUUGGAUGAAUUGUUAAUGUAGCUCUUUGACUGUUUGGGGUCCUGACAUAGCUGAUUUUAUUUGAAUAUAUUAUUUGAUAUCUCAUUGCUGCAUUGACUGGAAAUUUCAGUAUUCCAUAUCCUAUAUAUUUAACUCGUUAUAUUUAGUAGCUAACUCUGCAGCUAACUUCUCUGUCCCAUUGCAGCAAUUUCAUAGCUAACUCUUUGUUAUAUUUAACUUACUCUUCUUUGCUUCUUUGCUUCUUGCUCAUAACGAUAACUUGAAAGCCUUACGUUCAGAUAGAUAAUCAUUGACCAGUUCAUUGACCAGUUCUUUGUUAAUUUAGAAAUGCUGAAACAAAAACGCAAGCAAUCCAAAGAUGAAGACAACGAUUCAUCCUCGCGAAAGAGAAGAAAAGCUGACCUCAGUAAGCCUGUCAGUUUUGUCUCCACAGGUAAGGCAUAUGCGUGAGUCUAUACAUGUAGGAACUGCUGAUUCGAUUUGAAUAUGUUAUUUGAUUAGUCUGAUCAUAGGAUAGGUUGAGUCUACUACUAUUUCUGCCUUGCUUUGACUCGAAAUUCCUGGUGUUUUCACCUGCAAAUGAAUAGAAAUCACAUCCUUUCUCUUUCUCCUAUACAAAGAAUACAGUUAACCUCAUUUCAAUAUCAUAGAUUUGGAAUUUCAUAGCUAACUCUUUGUUAUAUUGCUCCAUUGGUAAUUGAUUGUGCCUUAAUUUCUGCAGCUACCAUGACAGAGCCAGGGUCUUCUCGAUCUAGUCCAGAAGGGGCCUAUGAUGUCUUCUUGAGUUUUAGAGGAGAAGACACUCGCAAGACAUUUACAGAUCAUCUAUAUGCUGCCUUAGAUCAAGCAGGAAUCCGCGCUUUUCGAGAUGAUGAUGAACUUCCGAGAGGAGAAGAAAUCUCCGAUCAUCUCCUCAGGGCAAUUCAAGAAUCAAAGAUAUCCAUAGUUGUCUUCUCAAAAGGAUAUGCUUCUUCUAGAUGGUGUCUCAAUGAACUUGUAGAGAUUCUUGAGUGCAAAAAGAGGAAAACCGGUCAGAUUGUUCUUCCUAUAUUCUAUGACAUUGAUCCUUCAGAUGUGAGAAAACAGAACGGCAGUUUUGCAGAAGCAUUUGUUAAACAUGAAGAGCGUUUUGAAGAGAAGUUGGUGAAGGAGUGGAGAAAAGCUCUUGAGGAGGCUGGAAAUCUAUCUGGAUGGAAUCUCAAUGAUAUGGCAAAUGGGUAUGCCUUUUUUCCAAAUUUAUGGAGUCAAUAUACUUUAUAUUUUUCAAUGUGAAACAAUAAAAUACUUAAUUGACUGGCUAUCAAUGACUGGCUUUUGUCUAUGAGCAGGCAUGAAGCAAAAUUUAUCAAAGAGAUUAUCAAGGAUGUGUUGAAUAAAUUAGAUCCCAAGUACUUAGAUGUUCCUGAGCUCCUAGUAGGUAUGGAUCGGCUUUCUCGCAAUAUUUUUGACUUUCUAAGUACUGCAACACAUGAUGUACGCAUUGUGGGCAUACAUGGGAUGCCAGGAAUAGGAAAGACAACUAUAGCAAAAGUUGUAUUUAAUCAACUCCGCUAUAGAUUCGAGGGAAGCUGCUUUUUUUCGAAUAUCAAUGAAACAUCAAAACAAUUCAAUGGUCUGGCUCUUUUACAAGAGCAACUUCUUCAUGAUAUUUUAAAACAAGAUGUUGCUAACAUCAAUUGUGUCGAUAGAGGAAAGGUUCUGAUCAAAGAACGACUUCGUCGCAAAAGAGUUCUUGUUGUUGCUGAUGAUGUGACUCGUCAGGACCAGCUAAAUGCUUUGAUGGGAGAGCGAGGUUGGUUUGGUCCCGGAAGUAGAGUAAUUAUUACAACAAGAGAUUCAAGUUUUCUACAUAAAGCGGAUCAAACAUAUCAAAUCGAAGAAUUGAAACCAGAUGAGUCCUUUCAACUUUUCAGCUGGCAUGCCUUGCGGGACACCAAGCCAGCAGAAGAUUAUAUUGAGCUUUCGAAGGAUGUAGUUGAUUACUGUGGAGGAAUUCCUUUGGCUCUUGAGGUUAUGGGUGCUUGUCUGUCCGGGAAAAACAGAGAUGGUUGGAAAUCUGUAAUUGACAAAUUGAGAAGAAUUCCAAACCGCGAUAUCCAAGGAAAGCUUAGAAUAAGUUUUGACGCACUGGACGGUGAAGAACUACAAAAUGCAUUCCUUGACAUCGCUUGCUUCUUUAUUGAUAGAAAGAAAGAGUACGUCGCAAAAGUGCUAGGAGCCCGUUGCGGUUACAAUCCAGAAGUUGAUUUGCAAACUCUCCAUGAGAGGUCUCUGAUUAAAGUAUUGGGAGAGACGGUAACCAUGCAUGAUCUAUUACGAGACAUGGGAAGGGAGGUCGUUCGUGAAAAGUCUCCAAAACAACCUGGAGAGAGGACCAGAAUUUGGAAUCAAGAGGAUGCAUGGAAUGUACUUGAGCAGCAGAAGGUAAGAGCUCAAUGCAUACAUGAAAGCAUAGUCAUGCGUAUUUUCUAGUCAAACUUAUUACAAGUAAUUGUAUGAAAGUUGUAUUGAUUUAUUUUUUAGGGUACGGAUGUCGUAGAGGGUCUUGCACUGGAUGUCAGAGCAUCAGAAGCUAAAUCACUUAGCGCAGGAUCAUUUGCAGAAAUGAAAUGCUUAAAUUUACUCCAAAUCAAUGGAGUUCAUCUCACCGGAUCCUUCAAACUGCUUUCUAAAGAGUUGAUGUGGAUUUGUUGGCUUCAAUGUCCUUUGAAAUAUUUUCCAUCUGAUUUUACCUUGGAUAAUUUAGCUGUUCUUGAUAUGCAGUACAGUAACCUCAAAGAACUAUGGAAGGGAAAAAAG